CUUUUCGGGUUACGUGUAUCAGUUUCUACUUGCCAUCCUUCUCGAUACUGGGGUUAAAGUUCAGAAGUAUUUCGGUACUUUUUCUUUUUCCAAUUACAAACCACAUCGAGAUCUUUUACUUUGAAAAAAUUAGAGUGUUUAAAGCAGGCUUACGCUAUGAAUACAUUAGCAUGGAAUAAUAAUUUAGGACUUUUGUCCUUUUGUUGGUUUUCUAGGAUGAAAGUAAUGAUUGAUAGGGACAGUUGGGGGUGCUAGUAUUUCGUCAACAGAGGUGAAAUUCUUGGACCGACGAAAGACUAACUUAUGCGAAAGCAUU
rnacentral:rRNA from 1 species